rnacentral:rRNA from 1 species
GCGGAGGAAAAGAAACCAACUGGGAUUACCUUAGUAACGGCGAGUGAAGCGGUAAAAGCUCAAAUUUGAAAUCUGGUACUUUCAGUGCCCGAGUUGUAAUUUGUAGAAUUUGUCUUUGAUUAGGUCCUUGUCUAUGUUCCUUGGAACAGGACGUCAUAGAGGGUGAGAAUCCCGUUUGGCGAGGAUACCUUUUCUCUGUAAGACUUUUUCGAAGAGUCGAGUUGUUUGGGAAUGCAGCUCAAAGUGGGUGGUAAAUUCCAUCUAAAGCUAAAUAUUGGCGAGAGACCGAUAGCGAACAAGUACAGUGAUGGAAAGAUGAAAAGAACUUUGAAAAGAGAGUGAAAAAGUACGUGAAAUUGUUGAAAGGGAAGGGCAUUUGAUCAGACAUGGUGUUUUUUGCAUGCACUCGCCUCUCGUGGGCUUGGGCCUCUCAAAAAUUUCACUGGGCCAACAUCAAUUCUGGCAGCAGGAUAAAUCAUUAAGAAUGUAGCUACUUCGGUAGUGUUAUAGCUUUUUGGAAUACUGUUAGCCGGGAUUGAGGACUGCGCUUCGGCAAGGAUGUUGGCAUAAUGGUUAAAUGCCGCCCGUCUUGAAAACCCGGAACUA